AACGAACGCUGGCGGCAUGCCUAACACAUGCAAGUCGAACGAGACCUUCGGGUCUAGUGGCGCACGGGUGCGUAACGCGUGGGAACCUGCCCUUAGGUUCGGAAUAACUCCCCGAAAGGGGUGCUCAUACCGGAUAAUGUCUUCGGACCAAAGGUUUAUCACCUUUGGAUGGGCCCGCGUUGGAUUAGCUAGUUGGUAGGGUAAAAGCCUACCAAGGCGACGAUCCAUAGCUGGUCUGAGAGGAUGAUCAGCCACACUGGGACUGAGACACGGCCCAGACUCCUACGGGAGGCAGCAGUGGGGAAUAUUGGACAAGGGGCGAAGGCCUGAUACAGCAAUGCCGGGUAAGUGAUGAAGGCCUUAGGGUUGUAAAGCUCUUUUACCCGGGAUGAUAAUGACAGUACCGGGAGAAUAAGCACCGGCUAACUCCGUG
rnacentral:rRNA from 1 species